AUUGAACGCUGGCGGCAUGCCUUACACAUGCAAGUCGAACGGCAGCACGGGAGCUUGCUCCUGGUGGCGAGUGGCGAACGGGUGAGUAAUAUAUCGGAACGUACCCUAGAUGGGGGAUAACGCAGCGAAAGUUGCGCUAAUACCGCAUACGAUCUACGGAUGAAAGUGGGGGAUCGCAAGACCUCAUGCUCAUGGAGCGGCCGAUAUCUGAUUAGCUAGUUGGUGGGGUAAAGGCCUACCAAGGCAUCGAUCAGUAGCUGGUCUGAGAGGACGACCAGCCACACUGGAACUGAGACACGGUCCAGACUCCUACGGGAGGCAGCAGUGGGGAAUUUUGGACAAUGGGGGCGAACCCUGAUCCAGCAA
rnacentral:rRNA from 1 species